CAAGUGUACACUUUAAAUAUGGAUAAAGUCCAUUAUACACAUGUACAGUGUACUUCGAUUACAUCUCAAUAAAACUGAAAGGGAGGGGAGAAUGAAGAUCUGUAAAUACUGACAUGGAAGAAAGUUCACUAUAUAUUGUGGAAUUAAGAAAGGGCUUGAACAAUGUGAAUGCAAUCUCAUUUUUGGUUCAAAACAUACCCUUCCACACACACAAAAAAAAAAGUCUAAAAAGAUUCACAGCAAAUUUUUUGAGUAGUUUUCCUCUAGGAGAGAAUUGGUAGAGCAAGUAGAAGAAGGUGGGACAAUGUCAUUAUUUUGAGAUUGUGUAUUGGAAAAGGAUUGUUAUUAUGGGCUGGGGCUGGGGCUCAGUGGUAGAACACUUGCCUAGCAUGCUUAAGGCCCUGGGUUCAAACCCUAGCACCACAUUAAAAAAAAUAAAUAAAUAAAUAAAGGUAUUGUGUCCAUCUAUAAUUAAAAAUAUUUUUUAGAAAAAGGAAAAGGAUUGUUUUUUAAAAAAAUGAAUAGUGGAUUGGAAUCAGGCAAUGUGAAUUUUAUUUCCAGUUCUCCCACUAACUUGUAAAUUUAUUUCCUAAAACAAAACGUACUUGUUUAUAGCAACAUCGAAACUAAUACAAUACACCCUCUGUUCACUGAGUCCCUGCUGGCUGAGACCUAGGCAGCAAGCCACCGUCUGCAAGGCCAGAGGGCACAAACAGUCACCUACAGUAGGGGAGCCCUCUGCUGCCCCAGCCCAAGUAGAGCUGGUAAGGCAAUAUGGGCCUCCCUUCAGCCACCGAACUUGCGUUCUGGGGAUUAUUUUAACCCACAAUGUUCUACAAAAUGUGUGCAACUAUUGUUGAAAGACCUGUCAUAAAGACAGGUUAGAGAUGGUUAGAGAUUUUUUUUUAAUUCUGACAUUAAAAAUAGUCAUUCAUUAUGGGGGAAAAGAUACACUCAUACAUUGUUGGUGGGACUGCAAAUUGGUGGAACCACUCUGGACAGCAUUAUGGGGAUUCCUCUGAACACUUGGAAAGGAACCACCAUUCGACACAGUUAUCCCACUCCUUAGCAUAUACCCAAAGGACUUGAAAUCAACAUACUACAGUGACAUGGCCACUUCAAUGUUUAUAGCAACUCAAUUCACAGCUAAGCUAUGGAAUCAACCUAGGUGCCCUCCAACAGAUGAAUGGAUAAUGAAAAUGUGGUGUAUAUACACAGUGGAAUAUUACUCAGCCAUAAAGAAGAAUGAAAUUAUGGCAUUUGCCUGUGAGUGGAUGGAGUUGGAGACUAUCAAGCUAAGUGAAACAAGCCAGUCCCAAAAAAAAACAAAGGCCAAACAUUAUCUCUGAUAUGUGGAUGCUAACACACAAUAAGGAGAUGGGGAGGGUGGAGAACAGAAGUUCAUUGUAUUAGACAAAGGGGAAUGAAGGGAAGGGAGGGGGAAUGGGAAUAGACAGUAGAAUGAAC
rnacentral:lncRNA from 1 species